CAUAGGUUAAUGAGGCGAACCGGGGGAACUGAAACAUCUAAGUACCCCGAGGAAAAGAAAUCAACCGAGAUUCCCCCAGUAGCGGCGAGCGAACGGGGAGGAGCCCAGAGCCUGAAUCAGUGUGUGUGUUAGUGGAAGCGUCUGGAAAGGCGCGCGAUACAGGGUGACAGCCCCGUACACAAAAAUGCACAUAUUGUGAGCUCGAUGAGUAGGGCGGGACACGUGGUAUCCUGUCUGAAUAUGGGGGGACCAUCCUCCAAGGCUAAAUACUCCUGACUGACCGAUAGUGAACCAGUACCGUGAGGGAAAGGCGAAAAGAACCCCGGCGAGGGGAGUGAAAAAGAACCUGAAACCGUGUACGUACAAGCAGUGGGAGCCUCUUAAUGGGGUGACUGCGUACCUUUUGUAUAAUGGGUCAGCGACUUAUAUUCUGUAGCAAGGUUAACCGAAUAGGGGAGCCGAAGGGAAACCGAGUCUUAACUGGGCGUUAAGUUGCAGGGUAUAGACCCGAAACCCGGUGAUCUAGCCAUGGGCAGGUUGAAGGUUGGGUAACACUAACUGGAGGACCGAACCGACUAAUGUUGAAAAAUUAGCGGAUGACUUGUGGCUGGGGGUGAAAGGCCAAUCAAACCGGGAGAUAGCUGGUUCUCCCCGAAAGCUAUUUAGGUAGCGCCUCGUGAAUUCAUCUCCGGGGGUAGAGCACUGUUUCGGCAAGGGGGUCAUCCCGACUUACCAACCCGAUGCAAACUGC
rnacentral:rRNA from 1 species